GUUAGGGUUAGGGUUAGGGUUAGGGUUAGGGUUAGGGUUAGGGUUAGGGUUAGGGUUAGGGUUAUUUUUGUACUACCUCUUGGCGCCCGAGAAAAUACAUGGCUUCUAAAAAUAUACAAUUGGCGUCUGAGUAUCUACCGUGGCAUCUGAAAACCUACAAUUGGCGUCUGAGUUUCUACAAUGGCGUCUGAAAAGCCACAGAUGGCGUCCUAUUAUCUACAGCUCGGCGCCCGUAAAGCUACAUGCUACCCUAAAACUUACAUGUUGGCUUCUUUUCAUUUUACUCCUCUUAAAAGUAGAUUUCCUUCAAAGUUAUGGGCUGCCCAUUGGUUUUUACAGGGCAUUUGACCGAGGCACUUUUCCGCCUGAAGUACUGGCCUGGUAUUCGGCUGUUUUCUGGUAUACAAUGACGUGCAAUGACAUGGUAAGCAAUUUAGAUUGACCCCACUUAUUUUCUUAUUUCAUACUUUUUAUCCAAAAAGAGCCACUUCAAUAUGUUGAGUACAAAUGAAAGUUUUUGUUUAUGGUAUCCAUCCACUUGGCAAAGAUGAAAUUGAUUGAAAAAUCUCAUUUGUUUUGAGUGGAAAACCUAUGGCAAUUUGCUCCACAACUCCUGGCCUAGCAUUCGGCUGUUAUCUGGUGAAGAAAAGUGAUGCAUUUGGUAUGAUACAAAAUUUAGAUUGACCCCAUUUAUUUUCUUACGUUUUGUUUUUUAUCGACAAAAAGCCCCCGCGAUAUGUUAAGUACACUUGAAUAUCAUUGUUUACGUUGUCCAUCCACGUAGCAAACAUUAAAUUGCUUGACAAAUCUCAUUUGACCGAGGCACUUUUCCGCCUGAAGUACUGGCCUGGUAUUCGGCUGUUUUCUGGUAUGCAAUGACGUGCAAUGACAUGGUAAGCAAUUUAGAUUGACCCCACUUAUUUUCUUAUUUCAUACUUUUUAUCCAAAAAGAGCCACUUCAAUAUGUUGAGUACAAAUGAAAGUUUUUGUUUACGGUAUCCAUCCACUUGGCAAAGAUGAAAUUGAUUGAAAAAUCUCAUUUGUUUUGAGUGGAAAACCUAUGGCAAUUUGCUCCACAACUCCUGGCCUAGCAUUCGGCUGUUAUCUGGUGAAGAAAAGUGAUGCAUUUGGUAUGAUAAAAAAUUUAGAUUGACCCCAUUUAUUUUCUUACGUUUUGUUUUUUAUCGACAAAAAGCCCCUGCGAUAUGUUAAGUACACUUGAAUAUCAUUGUUUACGGUGUCCAUCCACGUAGCAAACAUUAAAUUGCUUGACUAAUCUCAUUUGUUUCAAGCUGAACACCCUUCAUUAGGUGUUCAACUUGAAACAAAUGAUACUUUUCAAUGUGUGGUGCAUUUGGUAUGAUACAAAAUUUAGAUUGACCCAUUUAUUUUUGACAGUUAUGUUUUUUCGACAAAAAGGCCCUGCGAUAUGUUUUGUUUCCAGCAGAAAAACUUGAAAGGGCGAUCUCCCUUGCCAAGUAUUUAGCCGUUUCAAUUGGAUGAUUACGCAAAACCGUCAUUAACUCCAACUUCGUGGACGUCCUAUUGAAAUGUAUGAUACAGAAUUAACAUUCGUUUCUCAAGGAUGUCUACAAACUAAACUUAGUGAUGGUUUUGAGUAACGGCCCCUCGUUGUUAAAGUUCUGCCUUCCGGUGCACUUGAUAAGAUACACAAUUUAGUUUGACGCCAUUUUUUGUUCUAAUUUUAUGGGUUUUUUUUAACGACUUUAAUAUACUAGCCACUGCGAUAUGUUAAUUCUAUAGAAAAUCUUAGUAUAAGGUGUCCAUCAACUACAUCGACCUCAACAUGUGCUCCAUCAAUUACACUUGCUAAUAUUUCAAUUAUAAUUAAUUGCUUCAUUUGUUUAUACAUUUCUUAUAGGGUUAUAUAUGAGCGACGUGUAGGUUGACGUCGAACAAUGGGCAGAGGUAAUACAUACACGAAACUGGACACAUGGGACCGAUGUAUAUUUAGGAACAAGGAAUGACGACUUAUUAUCGCACAUGUGUAAAUAUAAUUAAAGAGUAUUAAGAAGUGAUCGUAUCCAUACUAAUUUAAGGGGAGUCUAUCCUUAUUGUAAGGAUAAGAGGACGUUUUGUGGGCAAAUACGAAGAUUUCAAAAUGUAAAAUCUCGCCAUUUUGUACGGACAGAGGGUCCGAGCUUACGAACGAUGCGAGCAACUUCCACUCCAAAAGUUAAUCGACAUCGGUAUGUAUUUAGCUGGCUGCUGACCCAUCUAAAAGUCCUCAAGUUACUAUUUUACCAUAUUUUUAAAGCUUAAUAAAUUUCCUUUCAUAAUUUUUAGCUACUUUUGGGGCCUUCGGAAAAAAUUGUGGAAUUUAAGACGAAAAUCAAAACUUCAAAUUUCCAAAAAAAAGUCAUCGUUCUAACUACUGAUUUUUAUAAUUUUUUCCCACUUUUUUGAAAAAAUAAAGAUGAUAUUUCCGUGAUUUUAACUUUUAACUCUUCAAAACAAAAACAAUCAUUUGAAAAUCUCAUUUUAUAACGGAGCUACGAGCAUUUCAAAACGAGUCUUCAUUUGCGACUUCUGAGGUUUUGUAGCCACACAUGCUAAUAUACUGUUAGUGCCAAUUCUCACAGUGAGCUAUUUGACCCAUUCAAUUAACCCCACAUUCCAUUAAAGGUGGUCAUGGCAACAGGCCUCCAAGGCCACUAUACUUACAAGAAGCUGUAUGCAAUGUACAUACUCUCAUAGAAACCGGUUUUGUACACUACUAUUCUAUUGUACAAUCUUUCUGAGGCCAUCUUAAACUAUAAUACUUUCGAUCAUUUUCUCUUAUGUUAUUCAUUGUUUUUCUUCUCUCUUUCCUCUUAUUAUUCUGUAGUUUCCUUCUAUUGAUCAUCUUCUCUUAUGUUAUUCAUUGUUUUUCUUCUCUCUUUCCUCUUAUUAUUCUGUAGUUUCCUUCUAUUGAUCAUCUUCUCUUAUGUUAUUCAUUGUUUUUCUUCUCUCUUUCCUCUUAAUAUUCUAUAUUUUCCUUCUAUUGAUCAUCUUCUCUUAUGUUAUUCAUUGUUUUUCUUCUAUCUCUCCUCUCAUUAUUCUUUAUUGUCCUUCUAUCAUCUCCUCUUAUGUUUCAUACAUAUGACACAAAGUGAUAUGAUUACUGAACUUGAAUAGCUACAUGUACAUGUAUGCUGUAAAAUCUUUUUGUUUUGUACUUGGGUGGGUUCGAAUCCCGCGAAGCUGUUUUUAGCACAAGAGCUUUCAUGGUGCCAGUACAAUAUCAUUUGGUUCUAUAGCAUUCAACGUGCACGUUUCUGAUACAGAUACAAAUGUUGAAAGUAAAGAGGACAUCUCCUCAGAAUUGGCAGAGAACUCAAAGAUAAACUAAUUGAGUAUAAGGCACUUGUUUAGAGACAUAAGAGGACAAUUUAGAAUUGUUGUUCUGGAUCCAGUUUAGAACAAGGCUUUUAAUUUCUUUGUAACAAUAACCUAAGUGACCACGGUAUAGAUCUGUUUGAAAUAAGGAGCACCCAGUCCUGCAACUGCCACGCCCACCAUCGGUUUGUCCACAGGAUCUUCAUCCCUGUGCUCGACCACCAGCACCAAAAAACUGAGGGUGAAGUGCAAAAAACUACCCCAACAUAAUGAGCAUCCAAUCCCGCUACUACCAGACACAUCAUCCGUUAGUGUGUCAGCUGGAUAAUCAUCCCUGUUCUGCAGUACCAGCGAUCAAGCGGCGAGGGUAAAAUUCACCCAGGAAGAGAAGGAGGCAGUCCAGAAGCUUUUCCAGAGCUGGAUAGAAAAGGGUGACAUGCCUCGCAUAGGCGUGGUGAGGGACAUAGUUAAACAAAAUAAAAAAGUAGCACGUUGCCUCUCUAACCGAUCAUUUCUCCAAGUGAGGGACAGAGUCCGCAAUGCAAUAAAAGCUCAAACAAAAUCUACGUCUAUGUAGAUCAUCAACUAUUUCAUUCAUCUUUCUUUUUUCUCAGUUGCUUUCUUAAUGUAAUAUCCCUCACAACGCCUAUGCAAGGCAUGUCACCUUUUUCUAUCCAGCUGUUGAUAUUCUAAUGAAAUGUUUAAGAAAUGGCAGUGCACACUUGUCAGUAAGUCUGAAUGUUUUGUUAAAGUAGUUUUCGUGAUUCUUCUUUCUAUUCUUGUUCUUUUACUUUUUACAUGAUUAUGAUAUGCUUUUUAUGAAUAUGAAGGUACAAUUGUAUCAAUAAAAACCUUCAAUUGUCAUUAAUAAAACACUUUGAGCAGGACAUAGGAGAUAGUUUUGUAUUAUGUCCGAACUAAAUAUGAGUUGAGUCAAAUCAAAAAAUCAUAAUUAUCUACAUUGGACGUAAAAAUGAUUGAGUUAUGGCAUUUUUGAACUUUUGUAUUGUUUCAUGAAACAGUUAUAUGCAUAACAUGGGCUGUAUUUCGAUUAGUGACAUGCCGCACUGUCAUAUGCUCGAUUUUCCUUAUGUGUAUUAUAUUAAAUAUAUAUUCCUGUACACUAUUAACAUAUUUUUAAAAAGAAUACCCGUUUUACCGGUCCUAAGCUUUGGAACGAUUUACCUUAAACUAUGAGGAAAUCUGUACUUCUAUUGGAAGCUUUAAAAAAUGUAUAAUUUUAAAUUACAGUGCAUAAGUAUUAGCCCUAUACCCGAUGAGGCUGACGAGUGUGUGUGUGUAUAUUGUAUAAGGGGAUGUGUAUAUAACCCAAUUAUAUUGUACUGGCACCAUGAAAGCUCUCGUGUUAUAAACAGCUUCGCGGGACUCGAACCCACCCAAGUAAAAUAAAAAAGAGUUUACAACACACAUGAAGCUAUAUAUUAAAGUUAAUUAAUAAUAGCAGUUUGUGUCAUAUAUAUUUAAAAGAAUUUGCACUUUAGGAAUGCAAAAGAUUAAAUGUAUUUUCUUACACCGUAA
rnacentral:tRNA from 15 species